CAGGCAUGGGCUUCUAGGAGUGGGACCCCUAGCAGUCAUGAGGGAGGCUUCGACAGGGACCAAGAAGCCCUAAAUGAGAAGGUGGGGAUGAAUACCAGGAAAACUGGUGACUCCCGUCUCUGCCCGCAACAUGUUGAGGCUUAGAAACCAUGUUACAUACAGAUGGGACCAUGAGCACUUUCAGGAGAAAUCAGAGAAUGUCCGAGGAAUACCAGUAAUCCAGUUGGAUGGAAAAAAAAAAAAAAUCAUCAGAGGAACAGCAACAAUCAAAGCUGGAAAGGGAAACCAGUUGGCCCACUAUGAGGGGGUGAGUCAGCGACAGUCAAGAGGCCAUUUUAUCAAGCUCACACUGGGAAAAUCAGUUUUUACCAGAGAGCCCAAAAACAGAUAGACACUGAGGACUCACCAGAUCAAAUCAAGACGGGUCAAGCCAAUUAAAAACAAAACGAAACAAAAACACUGCUUGAGCAUGAGCUGUGUGCCAGGCACAGCUGGAAAUUCCUGCCCCAGAGAGCUUGUUUGCUGGGAGUACACAGGACAGAAACCCAGAAAAUACGAGGAAGAAAUGGCUGGCAUACGAUGGGUGCCCAACUACUGGAAGACAGUGAUUUUCAGAAACCUGUUCAUCAGGGACACUUCAAGUAGGUGAAGCAGACUGGAGAUCAGAGGUGCAAACGUGCUCUGCAGAAAGGGGAAGUUGUAUGAAGCCCGCGAAGGCAGAGACCCAGCUAGAGACCCAGCCCGAACGGAAGACAGCUGGAAACCAGAAUCCAAGCCCUUCCCAUCUACCUCUGUGGACGGGGACUUGGAUCUUUCCUGCCUAACGGAUACUUCCUGGGCUGCUGAGGGGUGCUGGCUGCGGGCCGAUGGCUUGUGGUUUCUCCUUGAGGUUUCCGUGGAGUCAAAACAACACAUGGACUUUGAUCUCUCUUCAGCAGUUGGCAGAAAGCUCAAUUCCAAGCAGAGGCCAAAUCAACUUUUGAGGACUAAUCCCUCAGCCUCCCCACUGUCAGGGACAGCCACUUCUGGAAGCUUCACAUCUAAUUCAGGCUGCAAAAAGCAGCCUUGAAUUCUUAUUUCUAUCACCCACUAAAUCCAUUCAAUUGCC